rnacentral:tRNA from 3 species
UCCCCGGUAGCUCAGUGGUAGAGCAGGUGACUGUUAAUCACUUGGUCGCUGGUUCGAAUCCGGCCCGGGGAGCCA